GGAUGAACGCUGGCGGCGUGCUUAACACAUGCAAGUCGAACGAACCUUCGGGUUAGUGGCGGACGGGUGAGUAACGCGUGAGAAUCUGCCCUCAGGAGGGGGACAACAGCUGGAAACGGCUGCUAAUACCCCAUAUGCCGCGAGGUGAAAUGAAUUUCGCCUGAGGAUGAGCUCGCGUCUGAUUAGCUAGUUGGUGUAGGUAAUGGCUCACCAAGGCAUCGAUCAGUAGCUGGUCUGAGAGGAUGAUCAGCCACACUGGGACUGAGACACGGCCCAGACUCCUACGGGAGGCAGCAGUGGGGAAUUUUCCGCAAUGGGCGAAAGCCUGACGGAGCAACGCCGCGUGAGGGAUGAAGGCCUCUGGGCUGUAAACCUCUUUUAUCAAGGAAGAAGAUCUGACGGUACUUGAUGAAUAAGCCACGGCUAAUUCCGUGCCAGCAGCCGCGGUAAUACGGGAGUGGCAAGCGUUAUCCGGAAUUAUUGGGCGUAAAGCGUCCGCAGGCGGCCCUUCAAGUCUGCUGUUAAAAAGUGGAGCUUAACUCCAUCAUGGCAGUGGAAACUGUUGGGCUUGAGUGUGGUAGGGGCAGAGGGAAUUCCCGGUGUAGCGGGUGAAAUGCGUAGAUAUCGGGAAGAACACCAGUGGCGAAGGCGCUCUGCUGGGCCAUCACUGGACGCUCAUGGACGAAAGCCAGGGGCAGCGAAAGGGAUUAGAUACCCCUGUAGUCCUGGCCGUAAACGAUGAACACUAGGUGUCGGGGGAAUCGACCCCCUCGGUGUCGUAGCCAACGCGUUAAGUGUUCCGCCUGGGGAGUACGCACGCAAGUGUGAAACUCAAAGGAAUUGACGGGGGCCCGCACAAGCGGUGGAGUAUGUGGUUUAAUUCGAUGCAACGCGAAGAACCUUACCAGGGUUUGACAUCCUGCGAAUCUCUUGGAAACAGGAGAGUGCCUUCGGGAACGCAGUGACAGGUGGUGCAUGGCUGUCGUCAGCUCGUGUCGUGAGAUGUUGGGUUAAGUCCCGCAACGAGCGCAACCCACGUCUUUAGUUGCCAGCAUUUAGUUGGGCACUCUAGAGAGACUGCCGGUGAUAAACCGGAGGAAGGUGUGGAUGACGUCAAGUCAUCAUGCCCCUUACAUCCUGGGCUACACACGUACUACAAUGCUACGGACAAAGGGCAGCAAGUUCGCGAGGACAAGCAAAUCCCAUAAACCGUGGCUCAGUUCAGAUCGUAGGCUGCAACUCGCCUACGUGAAGGCGGAAUCGCUAGUAAUCGCAGGUCAGCAUACUGCGGUGAAUACGUUCCCGGGCCUUGUACACACCGCCCGUCACACCAUGGAAGUUGGCCACGCCCGAAGCCGUUACUCCAACCCUUGUGGAGGAGGACGUCGAAGGUGGGGCUGAUGACUGGGGU
rnacentral:rRNA from 1 species